ensembl:snRNA U6 U6 spliceosomal RNA
GUGCUCACUUCAGCAGCACAUAUACUAAAAAUUGGAAUGAUAUGGAGAAGAUUUUCAUGACCCUGAGCAAGGAUGACAACACAAAUUAGUGAAGUGUUCCGUAUUUUA